UGGGGAAUUUUGCACAAUGGGGGAAACCCUGAUGCAGCGACGCCGCGUGAUUUAGAAGGCCUUCGGGUUGUAAAAAUCUUUUUUAUGGGAUGAAAAUGACAGUACCAUAAGAAUAAGGUCCGGCUAAAUACGUGCCAGCAGCCGCGGUAAUACGUAUGUUGCGAGCGUUAUCCGGAAUUAUUGGGCUUAAAGGGCAUCUAGGCGGUAAGACAAGUUGAAGGUGAAAACCUGUGGCUCAACCAUAGGCUUGCCUACAAAACUGUUGAACUAGAGUACUGGAAAGGUGGGUGGAACUACACGAGUAGAGGUGAAAUUCGUAGAUAUGUGUAGGAAUGCCGAUGAUGAAGAUAACUCACUGGACAGAAACUGACGCUGAAGUGCGAAAGCUAGGGGAGCAAACAGG
rnacentral:rRNA from 1 species